UACGUAGGGUGCGAGCGUUGUCCGGAAUUAUUGGGCGUAAAGAGCUUGUAGGCGGUCUGUCGCGUCUGCUGUGAAAAUCCGGGGCUCAACCCCGGACUUGCAGUGGGUACGGGCAGACUAGAGUGUGGUAGGGGAGACUGGAAUUCCUGGUGUAGCGGUGAAAUGCGUAGAUAUCGGGAGGAACACCAGUGGCGAAGGCGACUUCCUGGCCUGUUCUUGACGCUGAGACGCGAAAGCGUGGGGAGCAAACAGG
rnacentral:rRNA from 1 species